rnacentral:rRNA from 1 species
AUGAUGGAGUCCAAGAGCCAGAGGAUCCCGCGGUUGAUUCUAUGUGGAGUUCGACUUCGAGGAGUAGUUAGGAGGUCCCAGGCAGGAGGCCUUGCCUUUUCGAUCGUUGCUACUUUUGUGCUAGCCUUCUUAAGGCAAACUUGUUUAACUUAUGUCUGUACUCAGAUAUUGUUGCUUCCGCUGACUCGUCUAUGA